GCGUAUCCAACCUGCCCUUUACUCCGGGAUAGUCUCCUGAAAGGGAGUUUAAUACCGGAUGUGUUUGUUUUUCCGCAUGGGAGCGACAAAUAAAGAUUAAUUGGUAAAAGAUGGGGAUGCGUCCCAUUAGCUUGUUGGCGGGGUAACGGCCCACCAAGGCGACGAUGGGUAGGGGUUCUGAGAGGAAGGUCCCCCACAUUGGAACUGAGACACGGUCCAAACUCCUACGGGAGGCAGCAGUGAGGAAUAUUGGUCAAUGGGCGGGAGCCUGAACCAGCCAAGUAGCGUGAAGGACGACGGCCCUACGGGUUGUAAACUUCUUUUAUAAGGGAAUAAAGUUCGCCACGCGUGGUGUUUUGUAUGUACCUUAUGAAUAAGCAUCGGCUAAUUCCGUGCCAGCAGCCGCGGUAAUACGGAAGAUGCGAGCGUUAUCCGGAUUUAUUGGGUUUAAAGGGAGCGUAGGCGGGCUUUUAAGUCAGCGGUCAAAUGCCACGGCUCAACCGUGGCCAGCCGUUGAAACUGUAAGCCUUGAGUCUGCACAGGGCACAUGGAAUUCGUGGUGUAGCGGUGAAAUGCUUAGAUAUCACGAAGAACUCCGAUCGCGAAGGCAUUGUGCCGGGGCAG
rnacentral:rRNA from 1 species